rnacentral:tRNA from 1 species
GUCUCAGUAGCGUAGUGGUUAACGCAGGGUCCCCGUGGGCACGAGACGCGGGUUCGAAUCCCGCCUGAGAUG